AUGGCUGAGGGGAAUGAGAAUCGACCAACUCCAUGGCCAUCAUUUCAAAUCGGCGUGCCAUCAAAGGACAAGGAUGAUUCAUGUUUUAGUGAGAAGUUAUUUCAUGAAGGUAAAAAGUGGCUUUCAGAACUAUGUGAUUGCUCUAUUACUAUGGCUCCUCCAGUGCAGCAUUUGAAUCUAGCUAUCACGACUGCACAUCUACUUCUGAGCAUGCAGAAAAUGGUUGCUCUAAGCACCGAACGUUCAAGCAAAAAAAUUCUUCAGUUCAUGCAAUUUGGGCCCUAUGAACUAGUCUGCUACAAGCUUCAGGGUCCGAUUUCCAGUUUGUUUGCUAGUGUUGUUGUUCAGACUGUAUUCUCUGCAUAUACUACUGAUUCACUUCUUCCGUGGGAAUUCGGUAGAUGUACAAUCAUGGGAAGGGCAACAAAAUGCAGUGGAGGAUACACUGUGCAAUUUGAGCCACGGCAUGUGUUCAAGUUCAGUCAAGAGACUAUCCAGCUGAAGCCACCUUGGCCAUCAUUUUCAUGCGAUUGCCGAGCAGUGCAGGUCUUGAGCAUGUCAAUGCGUUGGAAAUUUUUGAGCAUUGCAGAUCUGAGAGCAUCCUGGACGCAUCUAUUAAGGGUGCACCUGACAUCAUGUUCCGGGAAGAAGGUUGUUUGA
rnacentral:rRNA from 1 species